CCAGCACCUGCGGUAAUUCCAGCUCCAAUAGCGUAUAUUAAAGUUGUUGCAGUUAAAACGCUCGUAGUCUGAUGUAAUGGGGACUGGUGUGGGGAGCAGCAAUGCUCUUUGCUUCGGUCCUCAUCAACGGGACAGCAAUGUCGGGGUUACUUUGAGGAAAUUAGGGUGUUCAAGGCAGGCGUGUGCUUGGAUAUCGCAGCAUGGAAUAACGGAGUAGGAUUCGCUUCUUAUUUUGUUGGUUUGGGGGAGUGAGUAAUGAUUAGUAGGGGCAGUUGGGGGCAUUGGUAUUUGGUAGUCAGAGGUGAAAUUCUUGGAUUUACCAAAGACUAACUGGUGCGAAAGCGUUUGCCAAGGAUGUUUUCAUUGAUCAAGAACGAAAGU
rnacentral:rRNA from 1 species